GAUUCGUUAGAAUCUUAUAACAUAACAACAUUAUUUCGAUCUAGUUAUAUAUAUAUAGAUAGCAGCAAUUGUCUAAUUGUAGUCUAUAAGAAUACAUGUUUAGUUAUAUAUCAAAACAAGAUAUACAAAUUGUCAAUAGACCAAUGGGUUCUAUAAAAUCUCAAAAAAUUCCGCGAUUCUAUCAUAUUCUUCAUUAAAGAUAUGUAUGUAUUUUCUAUUAUUUUAUCAGUUAAAUCUAUUUAUUUUUGAACCAUUUUAUUCGUGAGGAGCCGUAUGAGGUGAAAAUCUCAUGUACAGUUCUGUAAUAGCGAUGGAAUUGAAAAACAACCAACCAUCAACUAUAAC